rnacentral:rRNA from 1 species
GCCUAAAGCAUCCGUAGCUGGCUGAACAAGUCCCCUGUUAAACCCACCGAUUUAAUCGAUGGUCUGCGGGGGAUACUGCUCGGCUAGGGGACGAGAGAGGCAGACGGUAUUCCCGGGGUAGGGGUGAAAUCCUAUAAUCCCGAGAAGACCACCAGUGGCGAAGGCUGUCUGCUAGAACGCGCCCGACGGUGAGGGAUGAAAGCUGGGGGAGCGAACCGGAUUAGAUACCCGGGUAGUCCCAGCUGUAAACGAUGCAGACUAGGUGUUUGGACGGCCACGUGCCGUUCUAGUGCCGCAGGGAAGCUGUUAAGUCUGCCGCCUGGGGAGUACGAUCGCAAGAUUGAAACUUAAAGGAAUUGGCGGGGGAGCACCACAAGGGGUGAAGCUUGCGGUUUAAUUGGAGUCAACACCGGAAAUCUCACCGGGAGCGACAGCAGUGUGAAGGCCAGAUUAAAGGUCUUGCCAGACGAGCUGAGAGGUGGUGCAUGGCC